ensembl:snRNA U1 U1 spliceosomal RNA
AAUGUUAACUGGCAGGGAAAACACGUGAUCCUGUCAGCAGCUGUUCCAGGACAAGACUUCUCCACGGCACCCCAGCUGCGCUGCUCCCAGCAUCCCUAAAUAGGGAAGCUUGACUGCAUCGAUUGUGGGGGUGGGAGAUAGUUCUCCCC